UGUGACUUGGUGCAAUGGAAGAGCACUGGGUUAGGAGCCAGAAGCCUGUGUUCCCAUCCCCCUGCCUCGUGGGACAGCUGAGUGGAGCGGCCCUUCCAGUCCUGCUCCUCUGCCUGCAUAAUAAAGGUAAGAUGAAGCAAGUGGGGCUCGGAGAACACAGAGCAUUCGCCCAGCAUCAAGCAGUGGGAGUCUUCUCAGCCCACUGAGGCUGCAGAGUUUACUGUGGCCGGCGAAUGCCAACCACAGAGCAGGUUCACCUUGUGAGGCUGGACUGAGG
rnacentral:lncRNA from 1 species